ACGGACGUGAUAACGACCCCCUCCUCCCCUACCCCUCCAUCACCCUCACUCAUACGAUAUUUGCGUUUGAAAAUCGAUAGCUAAAACGAAACGAUUUCGUCUUCUGUAUAAUUAUACUGUCGGUGUUCGUGUAUUUGAUUGAAUAACGGUUAAAAACGUAAAUGUGACGGUCAACGGAGCGGCGGGACCCCGCGGACUCCACCGCUACUGUGAGCUCGCCCUCGGCCGGGAGGAACAACUAUUAGUUUUAAUGUACGGUUCGUACGUGUAAACAAAUUUACGAGCAAAAGUCUCACUCCGAUCAAAAGCCUUGCGGGAACUUUCCGGUGAAAAAUCGUAUCUUAAUGUCGUGAAGAU